GCCCUGAUUGCUCACUCAGUAGAGCAUCAGCCUUUUAAUCUGGGGGUCCCGGGUUCAAGUCCCUGUUUGGGUG
rnacentral:tRNA from 1 species